AAUGAAUGCAAGAACACCUCCGUGGUGGCACAAAACAUCCAGCAAUUUUACGUGGCACGAAACGUCAGUGGCAACCUUCAGUGCGUCUCUAACUGCAGCAUUUGGCACCCCGACCCCUUCAACUGUGUGAACGGAAACUGCUAUGUCACUCCUGAGGGGCCCAGUUGCUACUGUGAGCAGUCGGACUCCUACUGGUUCGUGGGCCACCGCUGUGAGCAAGGCAUCAGCAAGGUGGGGGUGGCCGUGGGGGUGGCCCUGGGCCUGGCGGUGCUGCUGCUGAUCAUCCUGGUCUUGGUGGUGCUUCUCUGCUGGAGGCGCUGUUGCCGGAGGGAGAAAGGUCACAGGCUGACGCAUUUUCCUCCCGAUGAAGAGAGG